AUAAGCAAACGAAGAUCGGAAUUAAACCAAAAUAAAUCUCGUGCCAAAAACAAUAACUUCAUAAGUAGAAGCUGUAGACACGUGAAUAGAAUAUUUAAAGAUGUUGUAAUUGUUUUCCUGGGAGAUUUCAAGAAGUGCUAACCGAAGCAUGAGUAAACUAGGAGCUUUUCGAUCACAGCAAGCAAGGCAUGUCAGUUACUAGUCGUUGAAAUUUUAGUAGGGUAAGCUUUAGCUUGAUAGCGGUUGCUUGGAAAAAACAGUGUAACAUUCAAAAUCGGUUUCUUUUGAACCUGACAACAUUACCGUAAUAAUUCAAUCGCUCAAUACGCC